UUUUAAUUUUAAAUUAAUGUAGAAUAUAUUUUGAUGAAAUUUUAAAUUUAAAAACAAUACUUUUGUUAUUAACUUAUUAGAAUGAAAUUAUACUUAUUUUAUUAAUAUACUUUUACAACCGUGGACGUGGAAACUUCUCGAGGCUUUAAUCGGGUAUUUAAGUAGCAGCGGUCAAAUUUGACCUCCCGAGAUUGCGAAUUUCCCAAUAGAUUUGGUGUGAUCGAAUAUUAGGGUUAGGGUUUGGUGCGAGUGAGAAGAUGAUCGAGGUGGUAUUGAACGAUCGGUUGGGAAAGAAGGUGAGGGUGAAGUGCAACGACGACGACACCAUCGGUGACCUCAAGAAGCUGGUGGCUGCUCAGACCGGCACCAGAUCCGACAAGAUCAGGAUUCAGAAGUGGUACACCAUUUACAAGGACCACAUCACCCUCAAGGACUACGAGAUCCACGACGGCAUGGGCCUCGAGCUCUACUACAACUAGACCUCCUCCGUCAAUAAAAAUGCAUUGGGGAGCUAGGGGUCUCUCUUUCUGCCUACGGAAUAUGUGUGUAUUAGAUCUCUUAAGAAACAAUGGAGCUUAGAAACUAUUCUUGUGCUCUCCAAUUUAUCUGUUAAUGGAUAAGCAUGUCUAUACUCUUUAAACAUACUGCUUACCUGAUAACACAUAUAUGUCUGUUACUGCUUAUUAGUUCCUGUUUGAUGCAUGUUCAUUACUGCUAA